GGGGACACAAAGCACGUGGUCAGCAUGGGAUGGGGGACAGGAAUGGAUAGCAGUGGACACAGGAAAGUUCCCAAGUGAAGUGUGAAUGUGCUCUGCAUCACCACUGGGGCGAUGAUCUCCACAGCCCCACAAAGACUGCACCUUGCAGUCACCACCUGCUGUCCCUUCCCUCUAGGUCGCAGCACCGAACACUGCCCUUUGCGAUUGAGUGCAGUAUCUGAGUGUGAACAGUUGUCCAUGAGCACCUGCAAGUUACAACCUGCUAUGAAUCCUCCACACCCGGCCAUCCAGAGGUUAUAAUUUGAAACUAUUUUAUUCUUUUAGGAGAAUUACUAUGGACAUUUGUGGAACAUCUCUAUGGACCCUAUUGGAAUUGAAAUGAAACUGAAAAAAAUCCUCCUAAAAUCUGACAGAUCUCUAAGUGAUGACUCUGAGUGCUAUAUCUUGAGAGAGAACGAAUCCUUUGGAUGGAAAAACACACCUCCUACUGUGCCUGCAUCUACGUAUUUGUUGCAAUAAAACUUAAACUUCACCAAAGUCUCACAUCCCAGACAGCUUUCCUAGUUUCUCACUGCUGUUUCUAAGGAACACACAGAUAUAUUCCACUGUGAAAAGGAAGGGGCCAUAGGGUCUUCUUCUCAGAAGGAAGGCUCAGCUCAUGGACCCCAGCACAUGACCUCACUUCCUUGGCGACAGGUCCAAACAGAACUCGGAACAGUCUAGCAACGGCUGCCCAACAAUCACUUGGCUGAAGAGAGUCGGUAGCAAACAUGCUGUGCUGCUUUUCCAGGCCUCAAGGCCGCAGCCUCAAGACCCCACACGGGAAAAGCACUUGGGAAUGGGUGAGAGGAUGGAUCACUGGGUCCAGACACUCCAGGCCACUCCAGGAACCACCCAGUCCUCAGGAGCAUCCCAGGGCAGGUCUCCCUGGACAGCCUCCUCAUCUAUAGGCCCUCUGUCCCGGAACCCAGAAGGGCCUGCAUUUCCUCCCCACUGGAGGGGAUGGUGGAAAGGAGCAGCUCCAGUCCAAGCUGAAGUCCCACCUGCAGAGCCUGUGCCAGCUCCACCUGCAGCUGCCUCCCCAGCUCUGGCACCACAGCCAGAGCGAGCACCAGGAAGCCCUUCUCCUCCAGCUGGACAGCUGGGGCAAAUGGUGGCUCCUCAGCAGGUGUCAGCUCCUGACCUCCCCUUGGGGCAAGCUCCUGCCCCACACUGGCCAUUCCCCUCCAUUAUUGUUGCUCUUGUUUUUUCCUUGACUUUUGCACUUAUUUGCUGGAUUUAUGUCAAUGAUAGAUUGAUUUUUAAAUAAAAGGUAAGAUUUUACUGUUGCUUAACAUGAUCGGCUUGGUGGCAUGAAGUACCUUCUCAGUGCGGUGAACCUGACACCUCUGUCGAGGUCCAGGGCAUUUUCCUCAGUGCUGCACCCAUGAGUGGUUCCUCCUCUGACACCUGCUGCUAGUCCCUGGCCACCACUCAUCUUAUGUCCCCGUAAUUUACCUAUUCUACAUUUUUCACAUCAGUUCAAUCAGAUUUCUCCGUGUCCACAUAAUCCUGGAAGGGACUCAUGCAUGAAUCCUGCUUUCCGUAGAAGGGAAAAUCCUAGAUAUAUCCUCAACAUUUUUCAUUCACCUAUUGAAUAAAUUAUGCAGUUUUUUGUCAGACAAGAAAUAUUUAUUAAUUAGUGCAAUAUGAAUGAAGAAUAAAAGAAAGGACAUAGUCACAGUCAUCCCACCAGGAGCCUUGCCCCCCUCCCCAGUGCUUCCCCUUCCUGUCUACAUCUCAGGGUUCAGGCCGUGUCUUAGAUGCUGGGUGGGAAUGUGUCAGAACACAGCUCCCCUGUCAUCUCAUUUAUGCACUGGGGACAUGAUCCCGUCAUGCUCUAUCCCUUGGCACUUUCUGUGGCCACAAUGACACAGUUGACUCAGCAACCUCUGCUCCAGACAAUUUCCGGGUUUUCAUGCCCAUAACUGAGCCAAAAGGAACAGCUGUGUCUGUAAAUAUUAUUUUUCAGAUGGAAUCCUGCCAGUGGAAUUUCUGGGUCACAGUCACAGAAAUGGGGGCAGAGACAGACUCACAUCUGUGGGGUCUGCACUGUCCAAAGGCAGAACACUCAGGACCAGGGGCACAGAGCUCCCAAUGACCUCUGAGAAAUGCAGCUCUACAGGAA
rnacentral:lncRNA from 1 species